rnacentral:rRNA from 1 species
GAUUGACCUCGGAUCAGGUA